rnacentral:rRNA from 1 species
GGCCACGCCUGUCUGAGGGUCGGUCAUACGUGUAACACGAUGGUUGCGUUCUCGCGAGUUUCGCGCUCGCUCCGCAGCAGACCAGAUCGUGCGCGCUCGUCGCGCGCGUGUGUGUGAAUUCACGCACGCCGCCGAGCGCGCGAGAGCGAGUACGUUGCGCUUUGCGGCGACUUCGUACGCUCGAAGCUGACGAUUCGUUUGCCCGCGUGACUUGUCGCGUCGACGGCGAACGUUCGUCGAAAUAUUGCGGUUCUCGCCCGCAUCGAUAGUUCGUUCACGAACAACAACGUGUUCGACGAAAGCGUGCCGCGUGCAGCGGACCAUAUGCGAACGCGAUGCGGUAGAUACUCGGAGAGUGCGUUGGCCGUCGGAUGUACGGGCGUCGAAAAUUCUCUCUCGGGGCGACGGCGGGUGACGCGCGUGUUGUACGAUCGCGCGUUCCAACACCCCCUCGUCGCUUGAGAAAAAAAUUAUACGACGCGAAGACGGUUUUCUCUUUACACGCCAACCGCGAUCGUUUCCCGAUCGGACUUUGAGUAUUUUUUCCGCAGUUCGCCCGCCUGCACGACGACGUUGGCGUACGUACGCGCGCGCGUUAGCGUGUGUUCGCGUCGUCAUUCCGGCCGUUGUCGACGAAAUUCAAUAAUUCGAAGACGGCACUCGGAAGGCGAUUUCGCGACUCGCGUUACGUGCGACGCACGCGAACGUACCCGACACACACGCACGCAUACGAUUUCACGCCGACCUCAGAUCAGGUAAGACUACCCGCUGAACUU